rnacentral:rRNA from 1 species
GAGCGGGACUCUGCGGAGUACAGCGGCGGACGGGUGAGUAACACGUGGGCAACCUGCCUAUAAGACUGGGAUAACACCGGGAAACCGGUGCUAAUACCGGAUAAUCCUUUUCCUCUCAUGAGGGAAAGCUGAAAGACGGCGUAAGCUGUCACUUACAGAUGGGCCCGCGGCGCAUUAGCUAGUUGGUGAGGUAACGGCUCACCAAGGCGACGAUGCGUAGCCGACCUGAGGGGGUGAUCGGCCACACUGGGACUGAGACACGGCCCAGACUCCUACGGGAGGCAGCAGUAGGGAAUCUUCCGCAAUGGACGAAAGUCUGACGGAGCAACGCCGCGUGAGCGAUGAACGCCUUCGGGUCGUAAAGCUCUGUUGUUAGGGAAGAACAAGUAUCGGAGUAACUGCCGGUACCUUGACGGUACCUAACCAGAAAGCCACGGCUAACUACGUGCCAGCAGCCGCGGUA